CCUACGGGAGGCUGCAGUGGGGAAUAUUGGACAAUGGGGGCAACCCUGAUCCAGCCAUGCCGCGUGUGUGAAGAAGGCCCUCGGGUUGUAAAGCACUUUCAGUGAGGAAGAACGCCUGGUGGUUAAUACCCAUCAGGAAAGACAUCACUCACAGAAGAAGCACCGGCUAACUACGUGCCAGCAGCCGCGGUAAUACGGAGGGUGCGAGCGUUAAUCGGAAUUACUGGGCGUAAAGCGCGCGUAGGUGGCUUGAUAAGCCGGUUGUGAAAGCCCCGGGCUCAACCUGGGAACGGCAUCCGGAACUGUCAAGCUAGAGUGCAGGAGAGGAAGGUAGAAUUCCCGGUGUAGCGGUGAAAUGCGUAGAGAUCGGGAGGAAUACCAGUGGCGAAGGCGGCCUUCUGGACUGACACUGACACUGAGGUGCGAAAGCGUGGGUAGCAAACAGGAUUAGAUACCCUGGUAGUC
rnacentral:rRNA from 1 species